AGCGAACGCUGGCGGCAGGCUUAACACAUGCAAGUCGAGCGGCCACCUUUCGGGGUGUCAGCGGCGGACGGGCGAGCAACGCGUUGGAACGUGCCCUCGUGUUCGGAAUAACUCGGUGAAACUUCAGCUGAUACCGUAUUCGCCCUUUUGGGGUGAGGCUUGCUGCCGGAGGGCCGGACCGCGUCCGAUUAGCUAGUGGGUGAGGUAACGGCUCACCAAGGCGACGAUCAGGAGCUGGUCUGAGAGGAUUAGCUGCCACACUGGGACUGAGACCCGGCCCGGACUCCUACGGGAGGCAGCAGUGGGGAAUAUUGGACAAUCGGCGCAAGCCUGAUCCAGCCAUGCCGCGUGAGUGAUGAAGGCCUUAGGGUUGUAAAGCUCUUUUAUCCGGGACGAUAAUGACGGUACCGGAGGAAUAAGCCCCGGCUAACUUCGUG
rnacentral:rRNA from 1 species